GUUAAAGAUUCCUGAGCGGUCUAAGGCGCUGCGUUCAGGACGCAGUCAACAUGUGUGGGCGUGGGUUUGAAUCCCAUUUCUGACA